rnacentral:misc_RNA from 1 species
AUUUUGGAUCAUCCUAAAGAACGCUAACCAAACAAAGCGCUUGAAAAUGGUGAAAUGAGUUUUUGAUUGUUCACUUAAUGUAAUAGUCAUCUGAACUUAAUUUUUUAUAUUUUGUUUCCUGAUCCAAAGAGAAGAAAAUUGUGGCUUUAUGCUUUAUAUAGAACUGAUUCAUCUUGCUAAAACAAACUUAGGUCGCAAAACAUGUCUAAGUAUGCUUAAAACAUUUUGUAUCUGGUACGCCGAUAUCCGCGUUUAACGGAACCGAUAAAUGUGCUAAAAUUCUGUGCCACGCUUUUUGAAGUUCACAUUUGGAGAGAUUUUUUAAAUAUUAAACUAAUAUAUCUCAUGGUUAUUACUUAAUAUGGAAAUAUUUUGACUUGCAAAAUUCGUACCAGUUAUUCUGAGUGGCAAACAGGUACUGUUAUUGUAAGUGUCAAAGUGAGUGGUAAGGAUCAUUUAACUUUUUUUUAGUGAUAUACAUAUUUAAGACAAAUAAACUUGGAACCUAUUAAUUAAAUAUUAUUUUUUUGAUUUGUUUUACAUUUCUAAAUUUAUUAAGAAACUCAUCAGUUGUAACUAUUUAAUGCUUUAAUGGUAUAAUGGGUCGACACAUAUUUAAAGGAGAAUUCAAAAAACAUUUAAUUAGUAAUUUUACAUUGCCAUCUAACACAAAUAUUGGGUGCAUGAAUGGACACGUUCUGUUUCUUUAUACUAGCAAUGGUGAGUUGUUUAGCAAAACAGUUGCAAAAGUCAAUGAGCAUUUUAACUUGAAUAUUUGCUCCAGUCAUAUCAAAAAAGUAGUGUACAUAGCCAAAAACUGGUCUAAAAAUUUUUUAAGAAAAUAUGAAAGUUGUGUUGCAUUUUGUAAUGAGCCCUUUAUAAACCGUGAACCACUGAUUACAAUUUUAUCGCAGCCUAUCUUAAGUAACACUAAUUACACAAUAUCACAUUCUUCUGUUUUAUCAUUGUCAGAACACAGCAGUGUCACAUCUCUGAUACGUAAUGAACCUUCAUGUUCUGCUGGACAUGAAGCAAAUUUAACUACUAGACAGACUUCAAUAGAAAAAUUGAGCCCUAGGAAGAAAAAAUUAACUAACCGGUUGUCUCAUUUGUCUUCUAGAUUAGCAAUUUCUUCAAUAGAAAAUCGUAAGAAGAUAGCUUCAAUGAAAGCAAAAUUAUCCAGCCUGCCAUAUAAAUUAAAAGUUCUAAGGCAAAGUGUUAAAAGAAAAGAAGAUAUUAUAAAAGCCUUAAGAGCUCAGGUUAGAGACUUAAAACAUAAAAACCAAACAUAUUAUUACAGCAGGCAAAUUCGCAAUCUUAUUGCAUCAAAAAAAGCAAUAAAAAUUAAAGAGAGAGAAAAGUUUAGAAAGUUAGCUCUCAAACAUAAUGCUGCGAUUAGAAAAAAUAAUACAGAUAUUACUAGCUUAGAAGAUAGUUUGACCCAAAUGGACGAGGACAAGAUAAGUAUUAAAAAUACAACUGAUUCUAAAAGCUAUCCAUUAAAAAUGAGAAUGAUAAUAUACUGCAUGUUAUUGUGUAAUGUCCCAACAAGUAACAUUCCAUUUCUAGUAAGCAAAAUUGGGCAAUAUUUCAGUGUUAUUUUUUCUCACAUUCCUUGUCGUAGCACUAUUGAGCAAAUGGCUCGUGAGCUUGGCAGUAUUGCUGAUCUGCAGGCAGCUGAAUGGAUCAUUAGUAAUACUCAUCUUACUCUUGGGUUUGACGCAACUACACAAGAAGGUGUUCAUAUCAACAGUAUUCACUUAACUUCAAAUGAUAAAUGCCAGGUAAUUGCUGUUGAUCAAUUACCAGGUGGGACAGCUGUGGAUUAUGCGAACCAUAUAUGUAACGAAGUGGAUCAUACAGCUUUAGUAUAUUCAAACUUUCACUUGAAACCCUUUGAAGAAUGUCGUUGUAUGGUCAUAUCAAAUAUUUCAAACACAAUGUCGGACAGAGUAUCUGUUAACCAUCUUACAAUAAGAAAAAUUGGUGAAACUUGGGGUAAAAGUCUCAAUGAAUUAAACUGUCAUUUGCACCCUCUUGACACAAUUGCCACAUCGUGUCGUUCAGCAUUAAAGUCUCUAGAGCUUGAUAGCUGCGAAUUAUAUGGAAAUGAUUGUAUAGCUGCAAAAAUUGUUUUGGCUAUGAAUAAGAUGAGGUUCAAAGAUGGUAAAGGUGACCCAAAGGGAUUUGUUAAUUUUUUAGACAAUAAUAAACUACCACGAGGUAUCAUUCCAAGGUAUCGUGGAAAUCGCCUUCACAUUCUGUUCCACACUUGUUUUAUUUUUAUAAAACAUUAUAACAAAUUUUUACAUUUUUUAACUAUAGGAACAGUAAAAAUAAAAACUUUACAAAGGGUUCUGCGAGUAGCAUUUUGUAAUACAACUGCUAUAAAGCAAAUGUGUCUACUUGCUUUAUUUGGAAAACUUCUUACAGGGCCGUGGAUGACAAUGUUUUAUGUGUCAUCUGAGAAAGCAUAUUUUGAUCAUGUUGGUGGUAUCCAGAUUGUUAAAAAUGUUGUGCAAACAAUUAAAGACUGCAAAUGCGAUCCAGCUGCAAUAUUUUGCAGAACAACAGAUUUUUUUGGAAAUGCUCUCAAAGCAAAUGUGUUAGAACCAUUAACAAAAAUAUGUAGAAUUGAUGACGAGCUCAUUGCCAUGAUCUUGGCUUGCCUCAAUGCAAUAGAAGUGGUUUUAAAUCGACAGUAUAAGCAGUAUUUUUCCAUUACCAUUACAGAAGCACUUGAAAAAGAAACAGCUAGUGCAAGGCUUCAUAACAUAGAUAGUGAAGAGUUAAUGGGAAUGUUCAGUGCUGCAAAAGGAAGAUCUCCUAAUGCAUCUAUUGGUUAUAUAUCUUGCAAAUUACGAACCAAAAAGAAUGGGACAAUGGAUUAUCUGGAUAAUCUUGAUGACUUUUCUAGAAAAAUGGUAGUUCAGUGGUCUAUUCAGGCAGCACGUAAAAAACGAAUAAAAACUCGACUACAACAUACUGAAAUUAAAGCUGAGAUUUCUAAAAGACAGACUAUAAAACGCCAAAAAAUAGAUGAAAAAGAAAAAAGAAAGUUAGAGCAACAAUUAACAUUAUUAACUAUUAGUGAAAUUCUGAAUUUGUUUAAAAACUUAUCUACCAAGCAAAUUGAUGAUUUAAAUGAUGUUAUGUGUGAAAGAAUUGUUGGGAGAAAUCUUUGCCAUGAAUGGUAUGAUUCCGAUACAGCAAUGACAGUCUUGUAUAAUGGCAGAGUAGAAAAACUUAAAAAAGCUCAGAAAGAUAUUAUAUACACUAUUUCUUAUUGGACUAGAGAAGAAAAUGAUACUGAAGCAGUUGAUUAUUAUAUGAAAAAAUUCCAGCUAGUUGCUGACAUUGUAUCCGGUCAGAGGGGGAACCAUCUAUAACUAUCACAAAGCAUUGUGUGAUGUAUUUUGAGUUUUGGUAAAAGAUGUUUUUAAAUUAAAGUGUUUAUUUUCAUUGCAUUUAAAUAUUUUUUCGAAUCUCAUUAAAAAUAGCUUCUUUUUUUUAGGUUGUCAAAAAAAAAAGAAGAGGGGGGGCAACAACACGCCCCCUCGCCCAUCUACACCCUUGAAACAAAGGAAUAUUAUGUACGAAAAAGUCAUUGCAAUAAAUCUCAAGUUAUUAAAGUCAGUUAACAAAUAAGUACUGACAAUUCAUUGACUGGAGUGGAAGAUGUUAGUGUCUUGAACCAACAUGAAACAACAAGUUAACUGAGCUGAGAAUGAUGGUAGUUUAAAAAUAAUGCAGCAUUGGCUAGGAUUGUUCCUUGGUCACAAAAACAAUCUUACAAAAGUUUCUGCUGUUGUCACUGGUUUUAGAGAGUACCUUUGUGAAUGAAGAUAAAAAGUCAUUUAUGCUAUUUUUUAAAAGCCAAGACAUAAUAUUGUUAAUCCUCAUACCAUUUACUAAAAAGCUUUAUAAAUAUUGUUACGAUGUUAUAAUUCAAAUUGUUGUAAUUAGUAAUUUUGAUCAUUUCAUUAUUAUACUGUAAAAAAUAUUUUUUAUUUAUAACAUUUAUUUCACAUAUAUUAAAAACAUGAGGAAUAAAUAUUACACUGAGGAAAAUUUUAAGCAAAAUAUAGAAUUUUUAAAUGUUAUUAGAAUAUCAAUAUGUAAU